rnacentral:rRNA from 1 species
GAUCCUGGCUCAGGAUGAACGCUAGCGAUAGGCUUAACACAUGCAAGUCGAGGGGCAGCAUGGUCUUAGCUUGCUAAGACUGAUGGCGACCGGCGCACGGGUGCGUAACGCGUAUGCAACUUGCCUCACAGAGGGGGAUAACCCGUCGAAAGACGGACUAAUACCGCGUACACUCCACUUUGGGCAUCCAAGGUAGAGGAAAUGAAAUUCGCUGUGAGAUAGGCAUGCG